rnacentral:rRNA from 1 species
UACGUAGGGUGCAAGCGUUGUCCGGAAUUAUUGGGCGUAAAGAGCUCGUAGGCGGUUUGUCGCGUCUGCUGUGAAAACUCAGGGCUUAACCCUGAGCCUGCAGUGGGUACGGGCAGACUAGAGUGUGGUAGGGGAGAUCGGAAUUCCUGGUGUAGCGGUGGAAUGCGCAGAUAUCAGGAGGAACACCGGUGGCGAAGGCGGAUCUCUGGGCCAUAACUGACGCUGAGGAGCGAAAGCGUGGGGAGCAAACAGG